rnacentral:tRNA from 1 species
UGGCUCAGAGGGUAAAGCAUCUGCCUGAAGUGCAGGAGACCCGGGUUUGAUCCCUGG